GUCGAACGGCAGCACGGGAGCAAUCCUGGUGGCGAGUGGCGAACGGGUGAGUAAUGCAUCGGAACGUGCCCAGUCGUGGGGGAUAACGCAGCGAAAGCUGCGCUAAUACCGCAUACGAUCUAUGGAUGAAAGCGGGGGACCGUAAGGCCUCGCGCGAUUGGAGCGGCCGAUGUCAGAUUAGGUAGUUGGUGGGGUAAAGGCUCACCAAGCCAACGAUCUGUAGCUGGUCUGAGAGGACGACCAGCCACACUGGGACUGAGACACGGCCCAGACUCCUACGGGAGGCAGCAGUGGGGAAUUUUGGACAAUGGGCGCAAGCCUGAUCCAGCAAUGCCGCGUGCAGGAAGAAGGCCUUCGGGUUGUAAACUGCUUUUGUACGGAACGAAACGGUCUGGGUUAAUACCCUGGGCUAAUGACGGUACCGUAAGAAUAAGCACCGGCUAACUACGUGCCAGCAGCCGCGGUAAUACGUAGGGUGCAAGCGUUAAUCGGAAUUACUGGGCGUAAAGCGUGCGCAGGCGGUUUUGUAAGACAUGCGUGAAAUCCCCGGGCUCAACCUGGGAAAUUGCGCUUGUGACUGCAAGGCUGGAGUGCGUGCACAGGGGGAU
rnacentral:rRNA from 1 species